GAUGAACGCUGGCGGCGUGCCUAAUACAUGCAAGUCGAGCGAACGGACGAGAAGCUUGCUUUUCUGAUGUUAGCGGCGGACAGGUGAGUAACACGUGGAUAACCUACCUAUAAGACUGGGAUAACUUCGGGAAACCGGAGCUAAUACCGGAUAAUAGUUUGAACCGCAUGGUUCAAGAGUGAAAGACGGUCUUGCUGUCACUUAUAGAUGGAUCCGCGCUGCAUUAGCUAGUUGGUAAGGUAACGGCUUACCAAGGCAACGAUGGAUAGCGGACCUGGGAGGUGAACCGGCACAACGGGACCUGAGAAACGGUCCGGACUCUUACGGGAGGAGGAAGUAGGGAAUCUUCCGAAUUGAGCGAAAGCCUGACGGAGCAACGCCGCGUGGGUGAUGAAGGUCUUCGGAUGUUAAGACUCUGUUAUCAGGGAAGAAGAUAUGUGUAAGUAACUUUGCACAUCUUGACGGUACCUAAACAGAAAGCCACGGCUAACUACGUG
rnacentral:rRNA from 1 species